rnacentral:ncRNA from 1 species
CGCUACGGACUUGAUUGUAUUGAGCCUUGGUAUGGAAACCUGCUAAGUGGUAACUUCCAAAUUCAGAGAAACCCUGGAAUUAAAAAAGGGCAAUCCUGAGCCAAAUCCGUGUUUUGAGAAGGGAUUCUCGAACUAGAAUACAAAGGAAAAGGAUAGGUGCAGAGACUCAAUGGAAGCUGUUCUAACGAAUCGAGUUAAUUACGUUGUGUUGUUAGUGGAAUUUCUUCUAAUUCUAAAUUAGAGAAAGAGGGGUUUUAUACUUUAUACAUUUAAUAAACACGUAUAGAUACUGACACUGACAUAGUAAACGAUUAAUCACAGAACUCAUAUUAUAAUAUAGGUUCUUUAUCUUUUUAAAAAUUUCUAAAUAAAAUUAGAAAUGAUUAUGAAAUAAAAAACUCAUAUCAUAAUUUUAUUUUGAAUUAUUGUGAAUCCACUCCAUUCGAAUAUUGAAUAAUCAAAUUCUUCAAUUCAAAUUCAAAGUUUUGAGAACUUUAAAAAAGUGGAUUAAUCGGACGAGGACAAAGAGAGAGUCCCAUUCUACAUGUCAAUACUGACAACAAUGAAAUUUCUAGUAAAAGGAAAAUCCGUCGACUUUAUAAGUUGUGAGGGUUCAAGUCCCUCUAUCCCCA